GACGAACGCUGGCGGCGUGCUUAACACAUGCAAGUCGAACGGUGAAAGAGGAGCUUGCUCCUCUGGAUCAGUGGCGAACGGGUGAGUAACACGUGAGUAACCUGCCCCAGACUCUGGAAUAACCCCGGGAAACCGGAGCUAAUACCGGAUACGAGACAGAGAGGCAUCUCUACUGUCUGGAAAGUUUUUCGGUCUGGGAUGGACUCGCGGCCUAUCAGCUUGUUGGUGAGGUAACGGCUCACCAAGGCGACGACGGGUAGCCGGCCUGAGAGGGCGACCGGCCACACUGGGACUGAGACACGGCCCAGACUCCUACGGGAGGCAGCAGUGGGGAAUAUUGCACAAUGGGCGAAAGCCUGAUGCAGCGACGCCGCGUGAGGGAUGACGGCCUUCGGGUUGUAAAAACCUUUUAUGAGGGAGAAAGUUAUUGAUAGUACCUCAUGAAUAAGGAGUUGCUAAACUCGUGCCAGCAGCCGCGGUAA
rnacentral:rRNA from 1 species